GAUGAAGAACGUAGUGAAAUGCGAUAAGUAAUGUGAAUUGCAGAAUUCAGUGAAUCAUCGAAUCUUUGAACGCACAUUGCGCCCGCCAGGAUUCUGGCGGGCAUGCCUGUUCGAGCGUCAUUUCAACCAUCAAGCCCCCGGCUUGUGUUGGGGACCUGCGGCUGCCGCAGGCCCUGAAAACCAGUGGCGGGCUCGCUAGUCACUCCGAGCGUAGUAAUACAUCUCGCUCAGGGCGUGCUGCGGGUUCCGGCCGUUAAAAGCCUUAUUUACCCAAGGUUGACCUCGGAUCAGGUAGGAAGACCCGCUGAACUUAAGCAUAUCAAUAAGCGGAGGA
rnacentral:misc_RNA from 1 species